GUGAUCUACUUCUAAUGAAUAUACUAUGGCAAAAGUGAUGGGAAAGCGUUUUUGAGAUUAGGUUACAGAAGGUUAUGAUUUCUCUUCUGCUUGCUCUCUUGCCUCUCACUUGGUCACUCUGAUAAAGAGAGCCGCCAUCUUGUAAGCAGUCCUAGGAAGAGACCCACAGAGCAAGCAACUGGAAGUGGCUUCUGACCAGCACCCGGGGAAUAACUGAGGUGGUCAUCAGUCUAACAGUCUGCCAAUAGCCAUGUGGACUACCUCUGUGGAUUUAUGCCCUGGACAACCUCAGCAUGGACGAAGAACACCUUAUCCAGAAAUGAUG
rnacentral:lncRNA from 1 species